rnacentral:RNase_P_RNA from 1 species
GAAGGCGGACGGAGGAUCGCCGGCGGGCAACCACCGCCCGCGGGAGGAAAGUCCGGGCUCCAGAGAGCAGGGAGGUCGCCAACGGCGACCCGGGGCGACCCGAGGGAAAGCGCCGCAGAAACGACACCGCCGAUGGCCGGCGAAGCCGCGCGUCGAGAGGCGCGCGGUGGAGGCACAGGCAAGGGUGAAAUCGUGGGGUAAGAGCCCACGCGCGACGGCCGGGUGACCGGCGGCGGGGCAAGCCCCUCCCGGAGCAAGCUCGAAUAGGGACGCCGUCGAGGGCGGCUCGUCCGAAGCGCCGUCUGGCCCGCCAGGCGGCGCCGGCGUCCGGGUGAGAGCGCUCGAGCGACGCAGCAAUGCGUCGCCUAGACGAAUGAUCCUCGCCGGCGCCGGGGCGACUCGGCGCCGGGACAGAACCCGGCUUACAGUCCGCCUUCGGUC